AAAAUAGGCUUGAAAGUUUUUACUUUUAAAAUAUUUUCAGUAGUUUUACUUAACACCCGGAAAAAGUGCAAUAUCCAACUGUUUAUUUAAAUCAGAAUGUGGAAUACAUUUGACUUUUUAGAGAUUUUUUCGCGCUCUCGAAAUUAUUUGCGAAAGAAUAAAAUUUAAAUGGCCGCAACACAAGAAACUGAUUACUAAAACUCUACGAUUGCAUAAUAAAACUAAUGAUUUUCGCAUAAAGACACGCCUCUGAGGCGCAAGAAUACAGUGGCGUGCAGUGGGUGAGGUAGACAGAACGUUUGCAUGGGUUUAUUUUACUUUCUCCAUUAAUUUUGCUAAAAAAAUUUACCAAAUAUUUUUUUCUUGGUUCUAGAUUUUGCGUAUACGCCGUGAUAUGUACAACAUUGAUGAAUAGAAAUUAAAAGGAAAAAAGAAAAAAAAAAAAACAGUUGUCUCUCAACCCCUGCCGUCUCCACCAUUUGCCAACUGUACAACGGACUAUCGCCUCAGUGUCAUGCGUUUUCUGCACUUACUACUCAAGUCCUUGGUUCUCUUCCCAAUUUCGGCCACGCAUUGUGACGCAGAACUAUCAUACAAGCAUCUUUAUCCUUAGCUUUGCGUGCACGAAAUUGAAAACUGAGUAAUAAAUGCCGAUGAACGCAGUGCUACCAAGAAGCGGUGCAACAAUGGAAUGAUGAGACUCAUACAUAUAUAAAUAUUAUAGAUGAAUGAAAUUAAUAUUCAAUGAAAAUGUUAGAAAAUGGUGCGAAGGACGAAAAUUGAGUGAGAACAAUCUACGUAAAAUGAGCACGUUGUGAAGCGCGUAGGCGCCUGAAAAUUUUGAAAAUAAAAAUGUGUUUCUUAUGCCACUGCGUUCUAGGCUUUUUAUUUGAAAUCAAUUAUUUUCGAAAUAUUGUUUUA